GAAAAAGUUGUCAGAGAUGCUGGGAGAUGGCACCUCUGAGUCCUGGGACUGAAGCUAAUGGAAGCCUCAUGCUCCUGUCAGCAAAAUGCUUCUGCUUCCUUCUGACCCAGCAUAAAUGCUGCAGAUUUAUGGUUUGGGUUCCUUAUAGGAGAGAAAAUCCAGCUCUGCAGCUGCACCUGGAACUGGCAGGAAAUCUACCCAAGAUCCAUUUCGCCUCUUGAGAGAGACUGAAAGCUAGUACCUGACCCAAAAACACACACAGGAGCCCUGAUUUGCACCCUGAGCCCUGGCUUGCAAGAGAAAAGAGCAUUCAAUUGUUUCAAACCUUCUUCAUUACUGCAACAGGAGUCCAUCACCUCUGGGAAUGAACAGCUUCAAAACUUAAGAAAUUGAUGAGCAGAAGGGUAGCAAGACUGGGAGCAUGGGGGAAGAGAAAUUGGAACUAUUAACUGGCAAAUAUUGACAACAUCAUUGUGGGCACUGCUGCUGCACAGCUUGAUGAAUGUCAGGUAAGGUCUUCUAUCUACAAAUGAUAGCUUGGACUCUUAAUAUCUGCAUUAGAGCAUUUUCUUUCUCUUGGACCAAAUUUUCUAAAU